rnacentral:rRNA from 1 species
CACGUAGUUAGCCGUGGCUUUCUCACAGAGUACCGUCACUUUCUUCUUCCUCUGCGACAGAAGUUUACAACCCGAAGGCCGUCAUCCUUCACGCGGCGUUGCUGCGUCAGGGUUUCCCCCAUUGCGCAAUAUUCCCCACUGCUGCCUCCCGUAGGAGUCUGGGCCGUGUCUCAGUCCCAAUGUGGCCGAUCAACCUCUCAGUUCGGCUACUGAUCGUCGACUAGGUGGGCCGUUACCCCCGCCUACUAUCUAAUCAGACGCGAGUCCAUCUGUAAGCGAUAAAUCUUUCAAAGCUUCCCAUGCGGAAAAACUUCAAUAUGCGGUAUUAGCACAGAUUUCUCUGUGUUAUCCCCCUCUUACAGGCAGGUUACUCACGCGUUACUCACCCGUCCGCCGCUCUCCACAAAAGCUUCACCCCGAAGGACUCAGUCUCUUGUUUCCCGCUCGACUUGCAUGUGUUAGGCACGCCGCCAGCCGUUGUCCUGACGCAGGACUCAAACUCUCUA